GGCUCACUCCUUGAAAAUAUAAGGAGCCGAACCUGCCCAGUGACAUUGAUUCAACGGCCGCGGUACUCUGACCGUGCAAAGGUAGCAUAAUCAUUUGCCCUAUAAUUGAGGGCUUGUAUGAAUGGUUUGACAAAAACAAUACUGUCUCUUAAAAAUUUACUAAAAUUUGGUUUUUAGGUGAAGAAACCUAAAUAAUAUUGAAAGACAAGAAGACCCUAUCGAGCUUAAAAAAUAUGUUAAUUAUAAUUAAAUUAAAACUAACUAAAAAAUUUGGUUGGGGCGACUAAGGAACAAACAAAGCUUCCUAUAAAUUAUAAAAAUUAAUAUAUAUUGAUCCAAAAAUUUUGAUUAAAAAAAUUAGUUACCGUAGGGAUAACAGCAUAAUCUUUUUAGAGAGAACAUAUCGAAAAAAAGGUUUGUGACCUCGAUGUUGGACUAGGAUAUCCCAAUAGAUGCAGAAGUCUUUAAAGGUUAGUCUGUUCGACUAAUAAAAUCCU
rnacentral:rRNA from 1 species